rnacentral:rRNA from 1 species
AUUGAACGCUGGCGGCAUGCUUUACACAUGCAAGUCGAACGGCAGCGCGGGCUUCGGCCUGGCGGCGAGUGGCGAACGGGUGAGUAAUGCAUCGGAACGUGCCCAGUCGUGGGGGAUAGCCCGGCGAAAGCCGGAUUAAUACCGCAUACGACCUGAGGGUGAAAGCGGGGGUCCGAAAGGCCUCGCGCUAUUGGAGCGGCCGAUGUCGGAUUAGCUAGUUGGUGGGGUAAAGGCUUACCAAGGCGACGAUCCGUAGCUGGUCUGAGAGGACGACCAGCCACACUGGGACUGAGACACGGCCCAGACUCCUACGGGAGGCAGCAGUGGGGAAUUUUGGACAAGGGGGGCAACCCUGAUCCAGCCAUGCCGCGUGCGGGAAGAAGGCCUUCGGGUUGUAAACCGCUUUUGUUCGGGAAGAAAUCCUCUGGGCUAAUACCCCGGGGGGAUGACGGUACCGGAAGAAUAAGCACCGGCUAACUACGU